AUUGAACGCUGGCGGCAGGCCUAACACAUGCAAGUCGAGCGGGGGAAGGGAGCUUGCUCCUGGAUUCAGCGGCGGACGGGUGAGUAAUGCCUAGGAAUCUGCCUGGUAGUGGGGGAUAACGUCCGGAAACGGGCGCUAAUACCGCAUACGUCCUGAGGGAGAAAGUGGGGGAUCUUCGGACCUCACGCUAUCAGAUGAGCCUAGGUCGGAUUAGCUAGUUGGUGGGGUAAAGGCCUACCAAGGCGACGAUCCGUAACUGGUCUGAGAGGAUGAUCGGCCACACUGGAACGGAGACACGGUCCAGACUACUACGGGCGGCACUAGUGGUGACUAUUGGACAAAGGGCGAAAGCCUGAUCCAGUCAUGCCGCGUGGGUGAAGAAGGUCUUCGGAUUGUAAAGCACUUUAAGUUGGGAGGAAGGGCAGUAAGUUAAUACCUUGCUGUUUUGACGUGACCAACAGAAUAAGCACCGGCUAACUUCGUG
rnacentral:rRNA from 1 species